UUUGACCUCGGAUCAGGUAGGAAUACCCGCUGAACUUAAGCAUAUCAAUAA
rnacentral:rRNA from 8 species